rnacentral:rRNA from 1 species
GACGAACCGUGCGAACGUUGUUCGGAAUCACUGGGCUUAAAGGGCGCGUAGGCGGGCGUCCAAGUCAGGGGUGAAAUCCUCCAGCUUAACUGGAGAAUUGCCUUUGAUACUGGACGUCUCGAGGGAGGUAGGGGCAUGUGGAACUUCCGGUGGAGCGGUGAAAUGCGUAGAUAUCGGAAGGAACGCCGGUGGCGAAAGCGACGUGCUGGACCUUUUCUGACGCUGAGGCGCGAAAGCCAGGGGAGCGAACGGG